UCCUCAAAAUCAACCCCUUCAAGUUAAGAGAAACCUCUAGCAACAAGUCUUGCUUUGUACCUAUCAAUGGUUCCAUCUGACUUCAACAUAGUUUUAAACACCAAUUUUGCACAAGCUAUGAUCAUUCUUGCAAUUUAAGGAACCAAAGUCCAAGUUUGGUGUAACACUCCAAAAGUUCCUAAGCCCAGAUGAGACCUUAAAAAGUCCAAAAGAGCUGAAAAUGAUAAAAUCUUUGAUUUACAAACCCUUUUAUGGACCGUUAAAGGAACCACAAAUCGUGAUGGGAUCUGUAGACCAGAGUUCAGAUCAAUGAAAAUUUGUCUAAUGUUUCACAGACUCUACUGUGGACCGUGGAAGCUUUCACGGAUCGUAGAUUGAUCCAUAGAACAAGACUAUAGAAACCCAAAAUUCUAUAUCUUUUACAAGCAGUUGUAUGAGCCGUAUAUAGUUCUACGAACCAUAGAAGUGUCCACAAAGUUGAACCUCAAAACCCCAGAAAACUUCUCUCCAUUUACGAACACUUCCACGGAUCAUGAAUAUUCUACGUCCGUAGAAGGCCUCCAUAGAUAACCUCCGAUAGUUUUAGUUAUGGGGAAUUGUUGUCUUUUCUCAUUCUUUUAAUCCUUAUACUACAUCGUUUUGGGGCAUUCUAAGUGGGAUUAAGUGAUUCCGAUCAACCUUAACCCCUUAUUCUCUCAUAACUCUCCCAAAUCAAAUUUUGUCUCUCUCAAGUUUCCUCUCAAGCAAGGAUUAGGUUCCAAGCUUCAAGCCUCUAAUCAAUAAAAUCAAGCUAGGGUUCUUCAGUUCAGGUCUGUGGGAUUUCGUCAAUGAGUAUCCCUUCACUCAUUGAUUCUCAAAGAAACCCCAAUUUCUCAAGUUCUAUGAUUCUCCAAACCUAGGGUUCUUAAGAUUUUCAUGGCUGUUUAUUGAAAUUCAGUUCAUCUUCAAGUAUUGAUCUUCAAUUGUAUGAUUUCAAGUAUAAUUAAUGUUUCCAAUGAUAUUUUCAUGAACCCUCAAGUUUACAAGUAUUUUCAUGGCUAUAAUUCUUCAAAAGCAUGUUUUUAGAUUAUCAUGACUUAGGUGCUUUUAGAUGAAGUAUCUCGCAGUAUAUGAUUAGUUAUCAUGUUUAUGAGCUACUCAGUAUUUUAUCAGAUUAUCAGUAUGAUUUAGUAGUAUUAGAUUAUUAUUCUCUUCAGUUGAUUGCAUGUUUCCAUGGGAGUAAUACUUAGCAUCGUGUGGAUUUAGGGAUGAAGGAUCCUGGUCAGCGUCUGUGGACCUUUAGUAGAAAUUCCUAAGUCCCAAAUCUAUGUAGCAUCUUAGAAUUUGUCAUUGAUAGACAUUAGUUUAGUGGAUCCACUUUAGCUCAAAUCCAGUUCCUUUACCUUGGAUAGUAUAAGACACCCUUUUUUUGGUGUGUGGGUAGUACAGUAAAAUCCAUGUAGUAGCUCACAUAGUUUACGUCGAUUUUAGUAUCUCUCGUAGUUGGACUUUUCAGUUAUUGCAUGAACAAGUAUUUUAGUUAUUUCAGUUCAUUUUGUUCAGUUUUCAUGUUAUUUACUUGAUCACUGCAUUAGAAGUUUUACAAGUUUAUGAUGUUCAGAUAUCAUAUUUUGUUUAUGCAUAUUCCUCAUACUUACGACAUUCAAAGUAUUGACUGCAUACUUUCUGCCUAUAUUGCUAAUAAUAUGGUUUGGAUAUUCAGCAUUCGAGCCAUGGUUAGUACGAGUUCUAAUCGGCAAGUUAGACUUGUGGUGAUUUCUCAUUAUUCGGGGACAAUCUCUAUCUUUUGAUUUUAGUAUUUCUAUUUCAGUUCAAACAGUUGGAGUGAGCUAGGGGCUUGUCCUAGAAACUCACUAUUAGUAGAGGCUUUUCAAACAGUUGGAGUAGAUUUCAGCUUAUGUGUAUCAGAUAUCAUAUAUUUGAUGAUUAGCCUCUUUUGACUAUUGAUGUUUUCUUUCGCAUUUCAAUUAUCUCUUGUUGUUGAUUUUGUGAAUCAUAGUUUUAUGCCAUGCCAUGAGGUUAUCUUGGUGUCGCUCGUGGCUCUAAGCAUCAUGUCACGACUAGGGGUAGUCUCGGAUUGUGACAAACUUAGUAUCAGAGCAUCAGGUUCAAGCAUUUUUGGGUGUCUAAAAGCCACAUUAAUUAGAGUCUUAUUCAUGGGUGUGAAGCGCGCCACAUCUAUGAAUAGAAGGCUAUGAAACAUUCUAGGAAAUAUUUCACUCCUUUCAUACUCUCAGUCGUUCAAUAGAGUACAACUCUACGUAAUUUCCUUCUAACCCUUGCUCUACACGUUUACAACAUCAUGCCUCCAAAAAGAGCUUAUGUCUGAAGGAAUAGAGAUGAAGAGCAAUAAGCACCACCACGUCCGGCUGACCCUUCGACUGAACAUGUCUCUCAUGCUAAGUUUAGGGAUGUUUUUUUAGGUAUUAGCCCAAGUUAUGGCUGCUCAGGCCAAUUGAAAGGUUCUUGCCCCAAUGAACCCUAUUGCUAAUACGUCCCUACUAGAGUUUGAGACUUCACUCAGAUGAACCUUUGGUUGAACAGGUCUCUUAUAUUGAGUUUAGGGCUACUUUUCAAGAAUUAGCCCAAGUUCUAGCUGCUUUUCAAGCGUUAGCCCAAGUUAUAGCUGCUCAGGACAAUCAAUAGGUUGUGGCGCUAAUGAACCCUAACGCUAAUACGACUGCUACUAGAGUUCAAGACUUCACUCGGAUAAAUUUUUCGAAGUUCCAUAGUUCAAAGGUGGAUGAAGAUCUACAAGAGUUCAUUGAGGGUGUCAAGAAGAUGUUGAGAUUAUGGGUGUCACUCUGGUCGAGAGUGAAGACUUAGGUGCCUAUCAGUUGAAAGGAGUAGCUCAAAUAUGAUACAAGCAAUGAAAGGAUGAUAAGGUUGUGGAUGCAGGCCCACUUGAUUUGGACAAGUUUGAGGCUGCUUUUCUCGUCAGGUUCUUUCCCCUUGAGUUGAGGGAAGCUAAGGUUCAAGAGUUUAUUAACUUGAAGCAAGGAAAUAUGAUUGUGAAGGAUUACUCCUUUAGAUUACUCAAAUCUCAAAGUAUGCUUCGAUUAUGGUGGCCGACUCUAAGGCCCAUAUGAGUAAGUUUGUUUCCGGUGUUUCUGAGACAAUGGUGAAGGAAUGUAGGACUGCCAUGUUGAUUAAAAAAAUGGAUAUCUCUUAUUUAAUUACUCAUGCUCAACGGAUUGAGGAGGAAAAACUAAAGGAGAGUGUUAGGGACAACAAGAAGGCUUGGAAAUAUAGUGUGGACUACUCUCAUCAGAAAUUAGGAGGUAGUAGUCGUUCUCAGUCUCUACUCCUGUUGGUAAAUUAGUCUUAGCUAAAUGGGUAUGCAGAAAUUGCCCGAUCUCAGUUUUUUCGAAAAUCACCUCAGUUGCUCUAGUAGAGUUAUACAUGUUUGAUUUUGAUAUCAUUCUUGGCAUGGACUGGCUACACACUUUUUAUGCCUUAGUCAACUAUAGAACCAAAGCCGUAAAAUUUCAGUUUUCUAAUGAGACAGUCAUUGAAUGGAAUGGUAGUACUUCAGCGCUUAUAGGUCGAUUUAUUUUAUACCUUAAGGCCUAAAAGAUAACUUCCAAGGAUUGUAUCUAUCAUUUAGUUCAGUUUAAUGAUUCAUGUUCCAAAACCCUAACUCUUCAGUCAAUUCUAGUCGUCAAUGAAUUCUCAAAAGCAUUUUCUAAAGAUCUUCUCGAAAUCCCCCCAAAGGGAAAUCGACUUCGGAAUAGACCUUUUUCCAAAUACCCAGCCUUUCUCCCUCCCUCUUUAUAGAAUAGCUCCAGCUGAGCUUAAAGAGUUGAAGGAGCAAUUGAAGGACCUUCUAGACAAAGGUUUUAUCAGGCCUAGCUUUUCUCCAUGGGGAGCUCUUGUUCUCUUCAUUUGUAAGAAAGAUGGUUGUCUUAGAAUAUGCAUCGAUUACCGCCAGUUGAACAAGGUCACAAUAAAAAAUAAGUAUCUCAUUCCCAAGAUUGAUGACUGAUUCGAUCAACUUUAGGGUGCUAGCUUCUUCUCUAACAUAAACCUCAGAUUAGACUAUCAUCAUCUCAAAGUCAGAGAGUGUGACAUUACAAGACAACAUUAAGGACUCGAUAUGGUCACUAUGAAUUUAUGGUUAUGUAUUUUGGAUUAAUAAAUGCUCUUGCAGCUUUUAUGGAUUUUAGGAAUAGGGUGUUCAAAUAUUAUUUAGAUAUGUUCUUCAUCAUCUUCAUAGAUAACAUCUUAAUUUAUUCUCAGAGUAAGGGUGAGCAUGCAGGCCAUUUGACAAUUGUCUUGCGAAUUCUUAAGGAGUCAGUUGUUUGUUAAAUUUAGCAAGUAUGAUUUUCGUUGAGGUCAGUAGCCUUCCUUGGCAAUAUAGUUUCUGGAGAGGUCAUUCAGGUUUUGAUCCUCAAAAGACUGAAGCAUUUAAGAAUUGGCCUAGACCUCUUUCUCCCUCAAAUAUCAGGAGUUUCUUGUGUUUAAUUGGUUACUACAAAUGAUUUGUGGAAGAUUUUCCUCUCUUGGUUCUCCUUUGUCCAGAUUGUCUCAGAAAGAAAUCAAAUUUCAGUAGUCCAAAGCUUGUGAAAAGAGUUCUCGGGAGUUAAAGACAUGACUUACAACAGCUCCAGUUCUGACUCAACCAGAAGGUUCAGAUGGUUUUAUGGUUUAUUUUGAUGCUUUCAGAAUUGGUCUUGGUUGUGUAUUAAUGCAACAUGGCAAGGUCAUAGCAUAUGCUUCUAGACAACUCAAAGUUUAUGAGAAGAAUUACACGACUCACGAUCUUGAGUUAGCAUCAGUAGUAUUUUCCUUGAAGAUUUGGAGACACUAUCUUUAUAGUAGUUAUGUGGAUGUUUUCACCUAUCAUAACAACCUGCAAUAUGUGUUUAAUCAGAAUGACUUGAAUCUUCGCCAAAGGAGGUGGCUUGAGUUGUUGAAAGAUUAUGACAUGAGUGUUCUAUACCAUCUGGGUAAAGACAAUGUAGUAGGAGAUGCUCUUAGUAGGUUGUCCAUAAAUAAGGUUGCUCACAUUGAGGAUAAGAAAAAGGAGUUAGUUCGAGAUGUUCAUGUGCUUUCUCUUUUAGGAUUUUGUUUGGUGGAUUCAGAAGAUAGUGGGAUUAUUGAUCAUAAUCAUCUCCUGUGAUAGAUGUUAAGGCAAAGUAGAAUGAUGAUACAAACUUGGUUGAGCUGAAGCACGUUGUUCUCAAAAAGGCUAUUGAGGCUUUUUCCUAAGGGGGAGAUGGUGUACUUCAUUACUGUGAUUGGUUAUGUAUUCCAGAUGUUGAUGCUUUGAGGCAACAAAUUUUAACAGAAACUCACCGUUCUUGGUAUUCUAUUCACCCAGGAGCCACCAAUAUGUACCGUGACUUGCGAGAGGUCUGUUGGUGGAGUGGUGUGAAGAAAGAUAUUGCAGAAUUUGUGGCUAAGUGUCCAAAUUACAUACAAGUUAAGGUUGGGCAUUAGAAACUAGGAGGUAUGACUUAGGAUAUCAGUAUUCCUACUUGGAAGUGGAAAGAUUUUAAUAUAGACUUCAUCACAGGUUUGCCUCGUACACGUCGAUAAUAGUAUUCUAUAUGGGUGGUUGUAGUUCGAAUGAAUAAGGCAAUACAUUUCCUCCAAGUUAAGACUUCUUAUUCAGCCGAGAUUAUACGAGACUUUACAUUCCGGAUUUGGUUAGAUUGCACGGAGUUCCUUUGUCUAUUAUCUCCAACAGAGGUACCCAGUUCACUUCUCAAUUUUGGAGAUUAUUUCAGAAAGGUCUUGGUACUCAGGUUAAGCUUAGUAUAACUUUUUAUCCACAGACAGAUGGUUAGGCCGAACGAACUUUUCAACCCUUAAAAGAUAUGUUGAGAGCUUGUGUAAUAGACUUCAAAGGUAAUUGGGAUGAUCAUUUGCCUUGAUUGAGUUUACUUAUAAUAACAAUUACCACAUAAGUAUUCAGAUGGCUAAAUUUGAAAUGCUCUAUGGUAGGAGGUGUAGGUCUCCUAUAGGGUAGUUUGAGGUUGGUGAAGUGGCUUUGAUAGGGCCCGAGUCAGUUCAUGAGGCUAUGGAGAAAGUUUGACUUAUUAGAUAGAGGUUGAAAAUGAACCAGAGUAGACAGAAAUCUUAUGCGAAUGUGAGGAGAAGAGAGCUUGAAUUUGAUGUUGAUUAUUGGGUUUAUCUGAAAAUCUCACCUAUUAAGGUGAUGAUGAGGUUUGGUAAGAAAGGAAAGCUCAGUCCCUAUUAUGUUGGUCCUUACCAGAUUUUGAGGUGUUUUGGCAAAGUGUCUUAUUAGUUAGACUUUCCUUCAGAUCUAGCAUCAGUUACAUCCAGUGUUUCAUGUGUUCUUGUCGAAGAAGUGCAUUGGUGAUCCGACUUCAGCGUUGUCUUUAGAGAGAGUUGGCAUAAAGGAAUGUCUCUCUUAUGAAGAGGUCCCAGUUGAGAUUUCUGAACGUCCGGUUCGUAAGUUGAGGAAUAAGGAAGUCGCUUAAGUGAAAGUCCUUUGGAGGAGUCAGUCAGUUGAGGGAGCUCCUAGGAAGCCGAAGAAGAUAUGAUGGCCAAGUACCCCCAUCUCUUUCCUUCCAGUUCAGUUCCAGUGUGAGGUAAUAGUUCCUCCAUAGCACUCUUUUAGAAUCAUGUCUCUCAGUUUUCUCAUCUCUCAGUAUGCAUGCAUGUUCACGAAAUCAGUUCAGUCUUCAUGUUCAAGUUCGGAGUUAGUCACUUCAUCAAUUUCAAUGUUUAGCUUUCAGUUCUGCGAUUGUAGAUCUUUCUCUAUUCUUUUUAGCCUUGUUAGAUUCCAUUCGAGGAAGAGUGUUCUAAAGGAAGAUAUAUUACAACACCCCAAAAGUUCCUAAGCCUAGAUCAUACCUUGAAAAUCCAGAAAGAACUGAAACCUAUAAAAUCUCUUAUUCACAGACACUUUUACGGAUCGUGGAAGGAACCACAGACCGUAAUGGAAUCCGAAGACCAGAGUUCAGGAUAAGAAAAAUCUAUCUAACAUUUCACAGGCACUGUUACAAACCGUGUAAGAUUUCAUGGGCAAUAGAUUGAUCCGUAGAACAAGACUUUAGAAACCCAGAAUUCUAUGUCUUUUACGAGUACUUGUAUGACCAUAUAGAGUUCUAUGGACCGUAGAAGGGUCCAUAGAGGUAACCCUAAGAACCCAAAAAAAAUUCUCCGUUUACGAACACUUCCAAGGCCUCCGUAGAUGACCUGUAGAAGUUUUAUCCCGGGGCAUUGUGGUAUUUUUCCAUUCUUUUAAUUCCUAUACUGCAUCAUUUCUGGCCAUUAUAAGUGAAUAUAAGUGAUUCCUAUCAGCCUUAACCCCUCAUUCUCUCAUAACUCUCUCAAAUCAAGAUUCUUCUCUCUCAAAUUUCCUCUCAAACAAGGAUUGGGUUCCAAGAUUCAAGUCUCCAAUCAAGGAAAUCAAGCUAGGGUUCUCCAUCUCAGGUUCGGAUGUUCAACAUUCAAGUCGUGGUUAAUAUGAGUUCUGAUCAGCGAGUUAGCCUUGUAGCGAGUCCUCAUUAUUCGGGGAUAACCUCAAUCUUCUGAUUUCAGUAUUUCUAUUUCAUUUCAGACAGUUGGAGUUAGCUAGGAUCUUGUCCUAGGAGCUCACUAUUAGUAGAGGCUUUUCAGAUAGUCAAACUAGAUUUCAGCUUAUGUGUAUUAGAUUUUGUCUAUUUGAUGAUUGGACUCUUUUAGACUA